CAGCAGGAGCCCGGAGCCUGCAGGCGUGGUGGUUGGCUCCUGGGGUCCUCCCUCUCCCUCUCUUUCUUUUGCAUAAUACAUGUGCCUUCCUUCAUUGGUGGUCCCCUGAAGUCACCAGCCCUGCCAGAAGGUCUUUCCUGGGACAAAAGGGGAACUGGAGCGAGAUGGCCUCUCACAUGUUGGCACCUCUCCCUGAAUUUCCUUCCUUGGCAACUCUGUGCGCUGGAAGGGCUGGCCAGCAACCUUGUUAUUUUCACCAGCCCUGCCCAUGUGACUCGCACCAGGCAAAAGUGCUAUGUAAGCAGCUCCAUUAAAGCACUGGCUUGGCCGGUCGGUUACCCUUUGCCAUUUAAGACCAUGAAACCAAGUCUUUCCAGCUCAAUUCUGGCCUAUUUUAAAAGAUGUUGGUUUCCUUUCUUUAGCUACGAUGGCCCUCUCCUCCUGUCAACAUAAAGUAGCAAACAUCUUGGUCUCACCUCUGACUUUCUUUCUUUAGUUCAACUAGAUCUUGAUUUUUUUCUUUUUUUCUCUUUGGGGAUAAUGGCUGGAAAGCUUUAAAACAGAAUGCUUUUUCACUAUUUAGAUCUGAGCUUUUGCAGAGUCUCAGCUUGCCCCCACACUUCCCAGCCGUACCCUGGGAAGAGCAGAGCAGUUCCCCUUGGCCCGCACUUGAAGCUCUCUGGAUUGAACGUGCAUUUCCUUUUUCCUCGGGUGGUCACCACAGCCAACACCUGGGCUGGGCCUGCUGCUUUCUCCUUAGAUGCUACCGUUGAAACCACAUAGUGGAAGCCAAGCUCUAAGGCAGGAAAUUCCUUUCAUAAAAGGUUUGACUGUCCAUCAGGUGGGUCCGUGCUUUCACCUAUCCAUCCAAGACUGUGUGGUAAAUGUUAAAAUGAGGAGCACUGGUAUACUACCAGAACUAUCAAUGUAUUUGAUACUGAUGAUUGGAGAGAAAUUACUGGGCCCAUUUUUCAGACGUCAAGUACUCCGAGAAACAGAGUACUUUUGCAGUGUUUUUAUAAGGUGUUUUCUUACAGGUAAGCAUUGUAGGAGACUUGGUCAGCUCUAAAUCAGUGGUGCUGUGAAUUAAUUGCAUUAGCAUCAAAGAGGUGGCUGAAGAAAUGAUCUGUGGUCAUAGGUAACGGUAUACAGUGGAAUACAAUUGUGUGAAGUAAGGAAUCAACGGACCUGGGAAGACAGCAUAUAGAGAGAUGUCAUAGGCGCUCUAUGCUUAGCAUCCUGCAAGGCGCAAAGGUACCCACCGCCUCUCUGCUCUCACAUCCGUUCCACCUUUUUUCUUCUUCAAAUCCCAGCUUAAGGUAACCUCCUCCUUGUAGAAGAGUCCCCCCUGCCCCACCUUCCUGGCUCUUCUGCAUACUUUGCCUGUGCCCUUCCCUUCAGGACUUAACGCUUUGGGAAACCAAACCCAGGAAGCCAGAGGGUUUUUUUCUCCUUUCAAACUGUCCUACUUCUCCAUAUACAUAGUGAAUUGGGAGCACGCGAAAGGGAUAGAAUACCAGGAAGGUUGCAAGAGUUGGUUGACAUUUUAUCUUCUCACAGAUUUUUUUUUUCAGAACGGGAAAGAUCUACAUAGGAUUAAAACAUUAACUCUCUGCUUAAACAUUUUUGACAUUAACUAUAGAAUAUUCAAAGUUCAAAUCCUUUAAAUAGUGAAAUCAGAACCAUAGCUGAAACGUGGGUUUUCCUGGGUGAUAGGAAUUAUAAUGUUUAUAAUAAACUAUAUGUUUACUCCGUCUCUACAUUUACUGUAUUUUAUAUGUUUUCUAUAUUAUACUCAAGAUUUUUUUAAAAGUCACAGCUGUUUCUGUUAAGUGAUUUUUUUUUUUUUUUCCAAGCAUGGUUGGAUGAGGAAGAAUUACUUUCUGGCUACAUCUGAGUACAUGACAAUAGCCAAGCAAUAAGAUUGUAUUCCUGUGUUCUCAGUAAAAAGAGAAACUGCUAGUAAAUCUCUAACCAGGUAUUUUAAUUAUGUUGCACUGGACUCCAUAAAUUGGCAAGAAGUUUCAAGGCAUUUAAAUACAAGAUCAAAACUUUUUUUAAAUGAUUUUUAUUUUUUCCAUUAUAGCUGGUUUACGGUGUUCUGUCCAUUUUCUCCUGGACAGCAAGAUCAAAACUUUUAAUCGAUGGGUUUGACUAAGAAGGCCUUACUGAAGGGGUGCGGAUCUCUCUCGUGUAUUUACAUCAUAACCUUAUGCUGUUUUCAGCUGCUUACAUAGUGGAGACUAAUCAGUAAGCUGAGACAGUGUGGAAGGAAGCAGAAGCUUUAUUUGUUUUUCAGCUCUAGCGGGCAUAGUUUACAUCGGUCGAGCCCAGAAGAUGUAAAUUCCUAGUGGAUGCCAUGAUGCAAUAAUCCGUAGGUCUCAAGUAGUGUUGCCCAAGUGUUGACUUAUUAGAUAAUGCCUUAAAAAUUACAUUUUUCAUUACUGGCAACAGGAUUAGGUGGGUUUUAUCCUGUGAGAAGACACAUGCGGACAGUAGAUGCUGAUGUGGUGAUGAAAUUUUGUCAAAAUGUAAUUUCCUGCGACUAAAUCUCGUGACAGGUGCAUCGUAUUUCUGGGUUCAGAAGUUAUUCCCCAAUGACGUAACUAGAGAGAAUGUAUCCCGGGAACAUCACGGGUUGAUAUUUGCACAGCCCUUCUCCAGGGAUAUGGUUUGCUUUUUUUGUUUCCAGUUUAUGAGUGCUACAAAUGAGGUUUUAUAAAACAUCGUAGCAAUAUUUGCCUCAUAUGCUUGGUGUGAGUCCCUUGGAGUUGCAUACAUAAAGUACAUUAAACACCCAUUACCCAUGUCAUCUUUUUCAGUGCGUAUUACAGUCUUUAUCAUUGUACUUUUAUGUGUCACUCAACAGAUAUUUGUUGCAUUUAAUGACUGCAGGAGCCUAGUAUGGUAUUGCUUUUUUUUUUUUUUCAACAUAUUCCUAAGUUAUAAAAAUUAUGAAUAUACAUUCAUACAUUAUGCGUAUGCCUGCAGACUAAUAUACACAGUUGCCCUUCUGCAAGGAGUUGCUUUAUUCAAACUCAGCCUUUCUAGACUGCAAGUGUGUAGAGACAGGGAUAAAGGCAGAUGUACUACAGUCCUGUGAGGCAUAUGCUAAGGUCUGUCUAUAAUAUUACGAGAGUUCCUUUCCAGCAAAACUCCUUACAGCCAUUGUGAACAGUUCUGUUUCUGGAACUUUAGUUUCGCAGUUCUUUGGCAUUAGAUAAUACCUUGCUGGGAUCCAUUAACCCAGCAUAAUCAGCUCUUUUCUGCACUGUAUUUGGCUCUCAAAGCUUUUUGGCUGUCUCCAGAGAUCAAAAGUAUCAUCAAAGGGCCAAACUGGCUGCUAGAGAGACCAUGUGAAAGAAUAUGCCCAGGCUGAGAAGGCAGUUGGAAGAAAGAAAUGGGAAGUUAAGAAGGCAUUCCAAAAAUGCUGGCGACAAUGGCUGCGUGAUUGGACUAAGUAUGCAGACCCCAAAGUGGCUGCAAGGGGUGGGGGUGGGAGGGCCAGACAGUCCUCACUGAGGGUGUCUGUUAAAAAUCCGUAUUGUUUACUCAGUAGCUAAACUUUAUGCACACAUGCACGCGCCCGCACACACACGCACACACACACACACCCUUGUAUAAAGAUAAAUUGUUGUGAACUUCAGACUCUCUCUAUUUCCAGACCUCUAUUGCCUGUUUAUAGUUCUGUUCCCAUCCCCUCCACAUCAGCCUUCCCUCUCUUUUUCCCACUUUCCCUUUUCCCUCUACUCCUAAAUGGAUGGCGCCAGCAGGUAACAUUAGUGGCUGAGACGUGUGUUGACCAGGAUUUACAAGAAAGGCUUUGAAAAGCAGUAUUCUGAGGUCUUAAAGGGGAAGGUAUAUGAUGGAACGGAUAUAUCUUUUUAUUUCUUGCUCUUUGAAGGUACUACUUGUGGCAGAUUACAAGGAUGGUUUCAGAGGGGCCCAGAGCGAAAGAUUUCAGCAUCUGGUGAAGCCAGAUUUUUUUUUCUCUCCUCAUAGGGCCUCCAGUCUCCACCCUUCUGCAUCCAUGCAGGUUGGCACAUGUGACAAAACUGGAUAGAGUUUGUUCCUGUGCUAAGCUCUUCAUUCAGCCAUUCUGGCUAAGAGCCAGAAUGUAAAAUGAAAAACAUACCGUGUACCCUAAACUUUUCCCCUAUUUUAUAUAAGUUGGCAGUUUACGUGGCUCCAGACUUUUGGCAAAGUAUGGCCUUCCUACCUACGUUCAGGCCUGGCCAUAGGAAGCUGUGUUAAGCUGUAUGUGGGUAUCUUUUAAGAACAUUCUGAUAGUUUGCAUUGUGAGUUCAGGAGAAACUUGAAAGUAAGAUCUCCGGAGUUUUUGAAAGGCUAGGUUUUCCUUUCUUUUUUUGGAAAGCGCAUGAAAGCAGAUCUGGUGUCUCUGGCAAUUAAAGAGAUAAGCCUGGGGUGCAUUUUUGUGUUGUUUUGUUUUUUACCUUGCUGUCUCCCCAUCAGGUCUUUAUUUCUAAGUAGAAAACGGACAUUCUCUGUCAUUUAGGGGCAGAGUUAAUAAUUGCGAAAUGAAUAGAAAGUCUCCUGGUAAAACUCCAGUCUGCAUUUGGUAAUCUUCAACUUACCUGAAAGCCAUUCUGGGCAUGGUGAGGGCUGACCGGUCCCAGCCAUACUCUCCUUCAAAAAGGAGCAAGAGAAGGGGGUAAAAAGUUGCAUUUGUCAAUGUUUAUUACCUUGUGUGGAUUUUGUUUUAUUUAUUUAUUGUUUUGGCUUUUUAGGGCCCCACCCACAGCAUAUGGAGGUUCCCAGGCUAGGGUGUGAAUCGGAGCUGCAGCCGCCAGCCUGCACCAUAGCCACAGCAACACCAGAUCUGAGCCGCGUCUGUGACCUACACUGCAGUGCCCUGCAGCAGCGGAUCCUUAACCCAUUGAGCGAGGCCAAGGAUCGCACCUGCAUCCUUUUGGAUAUGAGUCAGAUUCGUUUCCGCCGAGCCACGACGGCAACUCCGAGACGACUUUUCCCUCGUGUGGAUUUUAAAGUCUAAUUACUGUCCUCACAGUGGACAUGGAUCAUUACUGCUGCGUAUCGAUCGUAUCACAAAGCGUGUCCUGUGUCCCUUCACUUAUUUAGAAACAUGGUGACCUGCUAAUUAAGGUUCCCCACCAUCUACCCUGUCCUACAUUUGUAGAUGUCACUCCGACUACCCCUUUGCAGACACCUGAUGCUUCUAAGGAAGCCACAUUCCUCACGUGGUCUGUCCAGGGCUGCUCUCAUCCUCCGGGUGCUGUUUGGUUCUGUGCCCUCAGCAGGAAGUGUGCUUUGUCCCUUCCAUUCAUUCCGAUCCUAUUUGGGGAGUUCUCUCUUGAUGCCAGCCCUUGCGCUAGGCUCUGGAGAUGCUGAAACACCAUACCCAUUUCCACACCCCCAGACUAUGCCAUUUCUUCCAAACCAAGCCGAGUGUGUCAGCAGGGUACUUCCUUUACUUUCCCAGGUGGAAGCCGCGUCCCUCCCUCCUCAAUGCAUCUAGAGCUUUUUGCCCGUGUGCAUCUAUCAUGGAAUUCACUCUGUUUCUUUGUAUUCUAUCUGGGAAUGGAACUUACCUUCCUUGGUAGAAUUUCUAGAAAGAAGAGCCUAUAGCAGAAUUCACCUUUGUAUCCUCUGUAGUGCCUAAUGCAGCCAUUUACUCGUUUAACAGGUAUUUAUUGCUUAGCUCUGUGCCACCUCCUGCUCAGGACAUUCUAUAAAUAUUGAUAUUUAUAGAGACCUUUGGGGUGCCUGAAAAAUAGAGACCUCAGAAGGACUAUCUGGUAUUAAGACUUGAGAGCAAAAGAGGCUUUAGGAGGUUGAAAAGGUGUUCCUUCUCUGGGGAUAAAUGAAUAACGCAUCCUGAGGUCUGGCUUUUGAAAUUUCAUAGGAGAAAUGUUGUGUUUCUGGCAGAAUAACUUAUUUCUAUUAGAUCUACAUCGGAACCUUUCUCUUUAUUUAAUGAUCAACCAGGUCUCUUGGGCUUGGAUAUCCUUUUGCAUCUGAAAUUCUCCUGUCAAACAAUGUCAUGUUAAAAACCGAUUUCGGAUUUUGUAAGGUUGAUCCCUGCAACUUCCAGUUCUAAAAUCUGCAGCUGACUUUUAAUUCAAAUAUGUAAGCAUAGCCUGACUGUAACCUGUGUGCCAUACUUCGUAGUUGUUUUACACAGUAACUGUAGUGGACGUUUUUGGUUUGAUCAUAAGAACAUCAAGAUGUUUUAUGUUUUUGAGUUGCUAAACAUCUGAAACCUCCAAAUCAUAUUGAUUUGUUUGCUGACUUAAUAUUGACUCUUUUCCGUUUGUGAUUACUUUAGACCCUUG
rnacentral:lncRNA from 1 species